GGUUAUAGUACUCAAAUGAAUAGGCAGAGAAGUUCUUUGAGGAUUUAUGAACAUAAUGAUUUCAGGAGUAAUGCUCAUAUUCAUAUCCCUUGUAAUUUCCUUGCAUAUCAGAAACAUUAGCACGGGUACGGGCAUAGUUUUGACCAGUUGAGGAUUUUGAUCCUCUUGAAGGCUUUGGUACACCUGAGGAAUUUGAUCUGGGGUUCUGUUUCUUCACUGGUGGUAUCAUGAGGACAUUCACCUGAAGAUUUUCCAAGCAACUUUUAGGGACCCAGAUUUUCCUCGGG
rnacentral:lncRNA from 1 species